rnacentral:rRNA from 1 species
GAUGAACGCUGGCGGCGUGCUUAACACAUGCAAGUCGAACGAAGCACUUUAUUUGAUUUCCUCGGAAUGAAAAUUUUGUGACUGAGUGGCGGACGGGUGAGUAACGCGUGGGUAACCUGCCUCAUACAGGGGGAUAACAGUUGGAAACGACUGCUAAUACCGCAUAAGCGCACAGUACCGCAUGGUACGGUGUAGAAAAACUCCGGUGGUAUGAGAUGGACCCGCGUCUGAUUAGCUAGUUGGUGAGGUAACGGCCCACCAAGGCGACGAUCAGUAGCCGACCUGAGAGGGUGACCGGCCACAUUGGGACUGAGACACGGCCCAAACUCCUACGGGAGGCAGCAGUGGGGAAUAUUGCACAAUGGGCGAAAGCCUGAUGCAGCGACGCCGCGUGAACGAAGAAGUAUUUCGGUAUGUAAAGUUCUAUCAGCAGGGAAGAUAAUGACGGUACCUGACUAAGAAGCACCGGCUAAAUACGUG